rnacentral:rRNA from 1 species
GAUGAACGCUAGCUACAGGCUUAACACAUGCAAGUCGCGGGGCAGCAUGGGGGUUGCUUGCAACCCCUGAUGGCGACCGGCGCACGGGUGAGUAACGCGUAUCCAACCUGCCCUUCACCACGGGAUAACCCGGCGAAAGUCGGACUAAUACCGUAUGUUGUCCAUUGACGGCAUCCGAUUUGGACGAAAGGGUUGGCGGUGAAAGGAUGGGGAUGCGUCCGAUUAGCUUGACGGCGGGGUAACGGCCCACCGUGGCUACGAUCGGUAGGGGUUCUGAGAGGAAGGUCCCCCACACUGGAACUGAGACACGGUCCAGACUCCUACGGGAGGCAGCAGUGAGGAAUAUUGGUCAAUGGGCGUAAGCCUGAACCAGCCAAGUAGCGUGCAGGAUGACGGCCCUAUGGGUUGUAAACUGCUUUUAUGCGGGGAUAAAGUGGCCCACGUGUGGGCUUUUGCAGGUACCGCAUGAAUAAGGACCGGCUAAUUCCGUG